rnacentral:lncRNA from 1 species
AUUAAUAUAAUCUAGAUGCUACUCCACAUACUGCCAAUUGGUUAUAGGUUGGACCUUUCUAUCAUCUCUAACAUGAUAUAAGAGCAACCUUGAUCCUAACCCUAACCUGCGCAGACUCUUCUCCAUCAUCUCCGAUCGCCAGCGACUGUGGCCCGACGAUGCACGACCUCUGACGAAGCCAACCCAUCCCCUGAUGACCUUGAUCUAGGUGUGAUUGACAUCGUUCAAGACCUGUAAAGAUUCGACAGGUCUCUUCGUUGCUCACUUGGCUCCGACGAGCCUUGUCGUCACUCACCGAACCCUGGCGACCUCAGUAGUUGCUUGAUUUCACUUCGACAGGCCUUAUUUGGCUUGUUCACUAC